AUGGAGAUGUCUUCCCACACCCUGUUUGGAAUAGUUAAUGUUCGGAAUACCUGGACAAGAAAAAGAUGCAGACACUCUUACAAGGGUUGCUUUAACACUGGAAUAUCCUACCGUCUGAGUGGCAUGAAACUCGUGGAGAACACUUGUAUGCAGCCUCUCGGUGUUAGAUAUGGAAUUGGUGAAGAAAGGGAAAACAACAAAGACUCGUCAAAGGAGUAUUUUUGGCUUAAGGCAUCCACUACCACAUUGGACUUACCAGGUUUGUAA